rnacentral:rRNA from 1 species
AGAGUUUGAUCCUGGCUCAGGAUGAACGCUAGCGACAGGCUUAACACAUGCAAGUCGAGGGGCAGCACAGGUAGCAAUACCGGGUGGCGACCGGCGCACGGGUGAGUAACGCGUAUGCAACUUGCCUAUCAGAGGGGGAUAACCCGGCGAAAGUCGGACUAAUACCGCAUGAAGCAGGGGCCCCGCAUGGGGAUAUUUGCUAAAGAUUCAUCGCUGAUAGAUAGGCAUGCGUUCCAUUAGGCAGUUGGCGGGGUAACGGCCCACCAAACCGACGAUGGAUAGGGGUUCUGAGAGGAAGGUCCCCCACAUUGGUACUGAGACACGGACCAAACUCCUACGGGAGGCAGCAGUGAGGAAUAUUGGUCAAUGGCCGAGAGGCUGAACCAGCCAAGUCGCGUGAGGGAUGAAGGUUCUAUGGAUCGUAAACCUCUUUUAUAAGGGAAUAAAGUGCGGGACGUGUCCCGUUUUGUAUGUACCUUAUGAAUAAGGAUCGGCUAACUCCGUGCCAGCAGCCGCGGUAAUACGGAGGAUCCGAGCGUUAUCCGGAUUUAUUGGGUUUAAAGGGUGCGUAGGCGGCCUUUUAAGUCAGCGGUGAAAGUCUGUGGCUCAACCAUAGAAUUGCCGUUGAAACUGGGGGGCUUGAGUAUGUUUGAGGCAGGCGGAAUGCGUGGUGUAGCGGUGAAAUGCAUAGAUAUCACGCAGAACCCCGAUUGCGAAGGCAGCCUGCCAAGCCAUUACUGACGCUGAUGCACGAAAGCGUGGGGAUCAAACAGGAUUAGAUACCCUGGUAGUCCACGCAGUAAACGAUGAUCACUAGCUGUUUGCGAUACAGUGUAAGCGGCACAGCGAAAGCGUUAAGUGAUCCACCUGGGGAGUACGCCGGCAACGGUGAAACUCAAAGGAAUUGACGGGGGCCCGCACAAGCGGAGGAACAUGUGGUUUAAUUCGAUGAUACGCGAGGAACCUUACCCGGGUUUGAACGCAUUCGGACCGAGGUGGAAACACCUUUUCUAGCAAUAGCCGUUUGCGAGGUGCUGCAUGGUUGUCGUCAGCUCGUGCCGUGAGGUGUCGGCUUAAGUGCCAUAACGAGCGCAACCCUUGCCACUAGUUACUAACAGGUGAUGCUGAGGACUCUGGUGGGACUGCCAGCGUAAGCUGCGAGGAAGGCGGGGAUGACGUCAAAUCAGCACGGCCCUUACAUCCGGGGCGACACACGUGUUACAAUGGCGUGGACAAAGGGAAGCCACCUGGCGACAGGGAGCGAAUCCCCAAACCACGUCUCAGUUCGGAUCGGAGUCUGCAACCCGACUCCGUGAAGCUGGAUUCGCUAGUAAUCGCGCAUCAGCCAUGGCGCGGUGAAUACGUUCCCGGGCCUUGUACACACCGCCCGUCAAGCCAUGGGAGCCGGGGGUACCUGAAGUCCGUAACCGCGAGGAUCGGCCUAGGGUAAAACUGGUGACUGGGGCUAAGUCGUAACAAGGUAGCCGUACCGGAAGGUGCGGCUG